rnacentral:lncRNA from 1 species
GCAGGGUUCACCGACGGUUUAUUGCAGCCGCCGCCGCGCUCCGUCCGCGCGUCACAUGUUGGCUCUCUCCCGCUGCAGCCGGGAGUUGUAGGCGCGAGAAACCGCGUUCCAGGCGUCCAUGUAGCGGUCCAUGCACAUGGCGAUGCACUUCUGCUCCGAGUUGUCCAGCGCUCCGCCGGGCUUCCCGAUGCACUUCCGAAAGCAUUUAUCCGUCAUACGCUGCAGCAGCUCCUGCGCGUUGGCCACGGCGAUCUGCACCUUCACCUGCUCCAUGAUGAGCCCCGGGUCCAGCUUGCCCCCCCCGCCGGCCCCGGAGCCGAAAUCGGAACCGAAGUCGGAGCCGAAGCCGCCCUCCAUGGCUCGCAGUCCCGGCGGGGCGGCAGCGCAAUGGCCGCCGACGAACUACGGCUCCCGGCGCGCCCCGCGCGGCCCCGCGCGGAACGACGGCUGCGGCGCGCCCCCGCCCGUCAGACCCGCAGCCGUGCGCGUCCCCGCGGCGGGAGCGCGGCGCAGAGCCGGGCGGGCACCGCGGGGCGGACGCAGCGCGGCGUUCGGUCCGCGCGUCCCCGAGCGCUGCCGUAUCCCUGCGGGGCGGCGCACGGAGCGGUGCUGCACGGCUCAGCUGCGCGCAGCGGGUGCUCUGUGCUCGGAUUUCACGUCCGUUGCUUUGGAAGUUGCUCGGUACGGCCUAACGAGCAAUGGGAGUUUGGCAGAUCGGGGGAAAACAGCUCGAGGUCGGCCAGAAGUCACCGUGCUGGAGCAGAUGAUGGAAAAGUGGGGAUAAAAUGUGGGACACAGAGGAACCGAAUGGAAACGUCUGCUGUACUUCCAACAAUGAAAAGACAACUCUUUUCCUACCUCUCCAUCAGAGUUCACGAGGUCUAUCUCUUCAAUGCUGAUACUUCCUGUAGCUGAAGCUUGCUGGGACAUUUGGAAGCUACUGCUGCUACUGCUGCCACUGAUACUCCCAGUGCCAAUUCCACUUGUUCCACUGCCUGAGAGCUCCUCUGCCUCAAUCCGUCGUCUCUUGCCUCGGGAAGAGCGGACAAGUGAAGUACUGCUACUGCUGCUGCUGGAGGUAGCCCGAGAGACGGUAACACGGGAUGAGGGGCUCGGAGAGAGCUUCAACCUUUCCUCCUCUCCUUCCAGGAGUUUUCGGUAAGCGCUGAUUUCCAUGUCUAGUGCUAAUUUCACAUCAAGCAGUUCCUGGUAUUCAGUAAGCUGCAGCUGCAUCUGGUCCCUCAUUUCUGUCAUCUCCCUCUCCUUGGCAUCAAGCAUCUUCCUAAAUUUAUCCCGUUCACCAGCCAUCGUUUCCUCCAACUCACGAAUGCGAUCUUCAGCUGCACUAGCCUGUUUCUGA